rnacentral:misc_RNA from 1 species
UGGGUUGGUCGGAUCCCUGCUUGAGCAGCGACGAUCUCUCUUUCAUACCUUUUCAUUCUUGCUCCAAAAGCGAUACGCGCCUUGGACAAAUUCGGUUGCCUGUGUUGUAUACCUAUGUUGACGGAAUUCGCUCGUCUAAUCGCCCCUUAUUCACUUUGUGCUGUUCACGCGGUGCGGGAUGAACCAUGCAGUGUCCUUUGUUGUCCGUUCUUGCAUCGCGUUUGUGCGAUGUAUGAAAUGGCCAAUGUUGUGAUACUCGAAUUCUCGGAUACGGAACCUUAAGCGGGCAACGGGCCUUUUGCCUUAUUUUGCCCAAACUAAGCGUUCUCGCUUCUUACGAACGACUGUCGUGCCCGUUUUGACCUGAGGAUACUUUCGGUCUGACUGGCUCAUGCGGUGCCGACCUCGAAGAGGAAUGCUAC